ACGGUCACGUUACUAACUUAACUCUUUAAUUAUUUUUAUAAUUAUUUUCCUUCGCUCUCCCAUUUAAAUUCUCUAAUUCCUCGUAUAGGACCACUGACGUGACGUCAUACCUCGGUGAUGGAACAUACUCCACCUAUCGAGAAUUAUUUCGCGUUCGGUGAGUUUGACGUCGUACUCGUGGAAGGAGAGACGAAUGUUCAUCACUUGACCUGUGGCUGUAGGUGAAGUUGGUUGCUACCAUAGAAUAUUAGAAUGGCGGUUGGUUUUUUAUUUUAUAACAUCAGUGAAAAGAAAAAAAUUACCACAAAUGGUUUUCUACAGUAGGGUGGCAUGUGGGUAGAACAACCCCUCUUGGAAUCGGAAUAGAAAUCACCGCCAUUUUGGAGUAACCACAUGGUGAACUCAUAACCCUUUGACACCUAGGGAAACCACUACAGCCACAGUCAAGUCAUCAUGGGAAUACGUCUUUUUGGGAACAAGCUAUGGGAGCGUUCCAGCUCAAUUUUCGUCUUGGCACCUGGGCCUACAGGAGUCAUGGGGUCGCACCAUCCUGGUGCAUCAUUUUCUAGGAUGCAACCGCAACCUUGUUUGGGAACAUUUAGUGAGGUGUUGUAGUAACUAUUGGUUUUUUUAUAUUUCAGACUAUCUGUUAAAUACACUAUGUUUUUUUUCCAGAUUUAGGUUACCUCUGGUUUUUUUUUUGACAUAUUUGUAUAUUAGAUUAUUUGGUUCCCAAACUUUGUAUCUACGGUAACUUCUUGUGCACAGGAAUAAGCCUAGAGAAAAUUAGGUUUUUAAUACUUUAUUAUUGCUUUGAUAUUGGUUUAUGUAAUUCGGGUAAAUUUAUUUUGUAAUAUUACUAGCUUGUUUCCCAAAUAUUUUACUGUUAUUCGCUUUAUUCCAUUUGUUCGGUUAAUUUAGGUCAUCGUCGGUAUUUAUCUCAACUUCAUUUCUACUUUAGUCAAUUGUAUAUUUAACUUUAUUUAUUCAUUAUUGUAUUUUCCCUUAGUGAGGCUUGGGCCUAUUUAUUUGUAUUAUUUUCAUCUUUGUCGGUUUCAAUUCAGUUGUACGUAGCAGGCGUACUAUAACCAUUUGGUAGAAGACUUAUGUAAUUUUGUACCCUAUAUGUAAGUAAGAGGUACUAAUACCUGUAAUUUUGUAACAGAUAACAUUAUUGUUGUUAUCUUAGAGAUGACUUUUUGUAUAACUUAUGUCAUUUUAGAGUCACAUGAUAUACACUUUGUGUAACUCAGAGAUUGUCAAAAAUCUAGUAGUUAUUUUUAAUAAAUAUGUAUUUAUUUUGUAUAUCAAUUAUUUUAUUAUUCCUUUAUGUUCAUUAUUACAGGUUUAAUAUAUUUAAUAUUGGAAAGCAGUGUAAGGUACCUGGGAAAAUGAUCAAAGAUCAUUUUCAUGGCGCCCAUGAUUAGUUAGUUUUAUUUAUUUUGUUCGUUUUUAGUCAUUAUUCAUCUCCAUUCAUUUUCAGUAUAUUAUUCUUAUUUUAUUAUUUCAUCUUCUAGUCAUCAUUACUAUCUAUAUAGAGCUACUGUUCUUCGACAGGCAUGCAAACGAGCCGUAUCCAUCCUUGAGUGUCAAGUUGCUCUCUUGCAUCUAUAGCUAGCCAACUCUAUUCAGUUUGCCUCUAUCUCUUCCCACUUCUACUUCUAUCCCCUCUAAUUCCCCUUUCUUCAGUACUACUGCAAAGUAGUAUUUUUUCCUAUUGCGGCUUCUCAACGUAGAAGCCACUGCCCCCUUUUCUUUACACAUCCCACAUUCUCUUUUCUUCAGUAUUCAACUAUCUAGUCUUUUCUUUAUUUUUUCCUUACUUCUGUUGGAGUACCUAUAUCUUUCUUUUUACCUUCACUCCAACAGAAGUUUUCUUAUUUUGUUACACUGGCUGCCCAAUGCGUGGUGCCAACCGUUUUAUGGUUCUAAGACAGUAGUUCUUUUAGUUCAAUUUUCUUUUAUUGGAAUUUUCUGUAUUAUUACCUUCUUGAUAUCUUUGUAUACAUGUUAUUUCUGAUUUAUUUUUGGUCUUUAAAAUUUUAUUAAUACUAAACAUGUAGACUUAUACUGCUUUUGGUUUUGAUUAGUUUAUUUCGAUACCUCAUUUUUAGUUUUAGUGGUACAGCUCAUAUCUUAGUUUGGAUUUUGUAUUUUUAUUGGAAACUUAUUUAUGUAUUUAGAUUGAGUAUACAUAACUGACAUUAUGUUCUAUUAGUUAAAUUUUUAUUCCUUCUACCAAUGGUAGUACGUUUGCGCGUACAAUUAAUCGUUGAAUAUAUGCAUACAUUUUUUUUCUAGUAUGGUUAUAUUUUAUACAUAACUAGAAAUCAUUUUCAGUAUUUAGGUAUUUUAUUUACGCUAUUGAUUUGAUUAUUUUUAUAUAUUUGCUGGCAUUUUUUAUUUGUUGGUGUGUCGCUAAUAUUUUCUCCAUAUGUAUCUUUGUCUCACAAACUUUAGAUUAUAUUUUAUAUUUGUUAUUUUUGAUAUUUGGGUUGUUUGAUAAGACAGGCACACACCAUAAAGCACAAUCAGUCCACAACAUUAGCUUCUACACAUGAUACGUUGAAUUCGCAUGGUUCGGAUGAUUACAGAUGGUCAUCCAAAUUAUUUUUCUUUAAUUGGUAGUGUUAAACAUAACAAUUAUAAUUAUUGUAUAGUAAAGUAGUUCCAUUAUCCACCUCAGUUUCUAGUUUUAUUAUUGUUGAUAAUAAUAUUAUAUCAAUGUGGGUACCAUAAAAUAAUGCUCAUAGAAAUCAGAUACUUUAGGUUGAGAUUUAAACAUAAAUCUUUUAUUAGUUAGAAACAUUGGUACUUUUUCUAUUAAGUUUAGAACAAUCCUCAGAAGAAGAUUAACUUAACGGUGUCGUUCAAGCUAAUCUCUUCUUCUGUUUGUCUUUAGCUUAGCUCAAUCGUUAGUAUGGUUAGAAAUUUUAGUCAGAUUUUUUUUUACCAUCUGAUAAUGCAGGUACCCACAUACAUUGCUUGAUUUCAUCUUUGGCUUAGUUUUGAUGACUUUUAUUUAUUACUUAUUAAUUUAAUUAUUAUGUAGUACUUUAUGUAUGAGUUUAUUUUUUUUUGGUAUUAGGUAUGGUGCAUUUUAAUUAUUAUUAUGAGUCAAUAUUAUUAAUUGCUAAUCCUGUCAGUAGGAUUAUCCAAUUAAUAAAAACUUCACUUGUAUUUUUGUCUAGUUUUUGCACACCUAACCCUUAAGUUAGAAGGGUUGUUGAUUAUUAUAUAUUUAUAUAUAUUUGGAUAGGUGAACUCAUACAAGUACUCUUGUUUAAUAUGGAUAUUAUUAUGGAACUAUGUUGCACUACCAUAUCUCAGGUUAUAUUAUUUUGAAUAUUUGAUUACUUACUAAUUUUUUAUCAUAUUUAUAUCUUGUUAUUGCAUUUGCCAUAUUGGAAAGAUGUGGUUGUUAAUUUGUUAUUGGGUUACUCUAUUGACAUUUGUCACAGAUAUCUUAAGUACAUUAUAAUAAUUCAGACCCUUAUUUCCUAUACAUUAUGAUUCUGGAAUUAGUUUGGAAUUUUGAUGUAAGUAUGUGUGAAUUCUUAAGUCUUUCAUAUUAUUUCCUCUAAGAAUUAGUCUGUGUGUACUAGGAUUUAGUGAAUACGUGGGUUCGAAGUUGUUGUUCGGUACGUGGCCAGUGCUGUUCGAUUAAAUUUCGUAAUCUAUGUCUUUCAUGGCUGAGUAUGCAGAUGUUUAUUUAUCAUAAUAUUUCUGGUCAGGAAAUGCCUGCAGCAUGUCCUAACUAUUCUUGUCUAAUUAGUCCAAUUAUUCCAGUUACAUAUUUACAAUUUGAUAGGGAAGUAUUUAGUUUAUAUUUUAUCUCGUACUUCAUAGUAUGUUUGUUGUUGACUAUCCUUAUACGCAGUAGGUUUGUUAAGUCAGUAUUUGGAGUGUUUAGACAAAUGAGUUGUUCAUCAGAGUAUAUUCCCACUUCUUUCCUUAGGCAUUAGUUGCUAUUCAGAUUCUGGAAUAUUUCCUGAAUAAUUCCACGUAUGUGAGAACGCAUGAAUUUGCAGUUUUAUUUAAAAUUGUGCUUGUUCUCGUCAAUUUUUUUUCUUAUCACUUAUCCUAUUUUUUUUUCCUAUCACCUAUCACAUAUUUUUUUUGCCUAUCACUUAUCAUAGUGUCAUAGAACUUAUGAGUUCAUCAUUUAUUCUUUUUCUUUCUUACUUAUUCUUACAUUAUUAGUACCUUAUCUGAGUCUGGUUAUUCUCAUACAUCUGUUGUAGCAACAUGCUAUAGUUCGCGAAUACCAGCAUGAAUUAAGUUAUGUAUUUUCUAGAAUACUUUAGUCAAUACACUUUAGGUAUUUAUCUUACCUUUGAUUUAGUUUGGUUACCUCUGUGUUACUUAGUCUGUUAGUAAUUUUUUUUUCUGACUUAUUUUGGAUUACUUAGUUUAGAUAGGUUCAUAUUACCGGAUGAGGGUGUAUGUAGACCUAAUUUAUUUAUUUUGUUCAGUAUUAGUUACCAUUGGAUCCAAUAAUUUAGUUUAUUUAGUAUUAGUAAGAAUUGGUCCAUAAAUUUGCCUGAUCGUUCUUCUUUGGAUAUACUCCUAUAUAAAUCUGGUGUCCAUUGAUAGUCCGAUUCUGGAUAAGUGUCCGAUUCUUCAUUUAUUUUGUGUAUUUGGUUGGAUAGGUUCGUAUUACCGGAUGUGGGUGUACGUAGACCUGAUCUGUUUAUGUGGAUUAGUAUUGGUGUGAAUUGGUCCAUAAAUUUGCCUGGUCGUUCUUCUUUGGAUAUUCCUUUUAUGAAUCUGGUGUCCACUGAUAGUCCGACUUUGGAUUAAGUGUCCGAUUCCACAUUUAUUUUGGUUAUUGAGUUUUGGAUUCCUUUGGUAUGUUCAGUAUUGGUAUUAUUUGGCAUUGGUGAGAAUUGUUCCCUAAAUCUUCCUGAUUGUUCUUCUCUGGAUAUACUAUUAUGAAUCUGGUGUCCAUUGUUAGUUCAAUUUUGGAUUGGGUGUUCAAUUCUUUACUUAUUUUAGUUACUGAUUUUUUUUAUUCACUUUGAUAUAUUUACUUGUGAUAUGGUUCGAAUUGGCUCACACCUUUUCCUGGUUGUUCCGUCCUUGGAUAUAUCCUUUAUAAAUCUGAUGUCCAUGGAUAGUUCAAUUUUGGUUUGGUGCCCAAUUCGACACUUAGCAUUAUUAUGAACUUUAGUGCAAUAUUUAGUUCUGUUUUGACUUUUAAGCAAUAUUAUGUCAAUAUUUGGUAGCAGAGAGUAACAUAGUAACAUUUUAGUAUGAGUUUGAGUCAUGUAUUGAUUUAUUUUUCCUUGACCAUUAGUUUAUGCUUAGUGGUAACCUUGCGAAUAAACGUGGAUUGUUAGACUAUUGUAAAUUUAGUUGUUAAUAUUUUGAGGUUUAAAAAAAAAAUUUCUUUGAUACAUUUUUUUUUCCCGAGUAGAAGGGGAUUGUAACGGUCACGUUACUAACUUAACUCUUUAAUUAUUUUUAUAAUUAUUUUCCUUCGCUCUCCCAUUUAAAUUCUCUAAUUCCUCGUAUAGGACCACUGACGUGACGUCAUACCUCGGUGAUGGAACAUACUCCACCUAUCGAGAAUUAUUUCGCGUUCGGUGAGUUUGACGUCGUACUCUUGGAAGGAGAGACGAAUGUUCAUCACUUGACCUGUGGCUGUAGGUGAAGUUGGUUGCUACCAUAGAAUAUUAGAAUGGCGGUUGGUUUUUUAUUUUAUAACAUCAGUGAAAAGAAAAAAAUUACCACAAAUGGUUUUCUACAGUAGGGUGGCAUGUGGGUAGAACAACCCCUCUUGGAAUCGGAAUAGAAAUCACCGGUAAUAAAACCUUUUUAUAAUAAUUUUUUUUGUUAGCCUUGAAUAUUAAAAUAUUAGUCCCAUUGUUAAAAUUUCUUAGUCAACUCAUUAUUUGGAUUUUAUGUAGAUUCGAUUAUUGAGUAUUCAUUCAAAGAAAAUUAUACAUUAAUAUUUUUUUGGUUAGACAUAACCAAACAUAUGCAGUCCUCAAAUUAAUAUUGGAAAUAAGUAUCAUUUCUCUGUAGGUUUUUGAAUAUCCAAUAUUUUAUAAAUUCAAUAUUUUUACAGAUAUUUCCUUAAAUUAAUCAUAUUCAAAUUACAAAUUCCAUGUCAUUUGUUCAUGUAUUCACACUCAAAAUAGUUCAAGGUUACUUGAGAUUGGUUUUUGUUACAUUUUUAAUGGUCGGUUUUUCUAUACUAUUGCUUCUAAAAAGUUCCUCAAUUAUUUCUUCUUCCCUUUACUUUUUGCUCAUGUUUGAAAUGAGAAAUAAAACUGGGAAUAUUUUUUUAGCCAUUUUGGAGUAACCACAUGGUGAACUCAUAGCCCUUUGACACCUAGGGAAACCACUACAGCCACAGUCAAGUCAUCAUGGGAAUACGUCUUUUUGGGAACAAGCUAUGGGAGCGUUCCAGCUCAAUUUUCGUCUUGGCACCUGGGCCUACAGGAGUCAUGGGGUCGCACCAUCCUGGUGCAUCAUUUUCUAGGAUGCAACCGCAACCUUGUUUGGGAACAUUUAGUGAGGUGUUGUAGUAACUAUUGGUUUUUUUAUAUUUCAGACUAUCUGUUAAAUACACUAUGUUUUUUUUCCAGAUUUAGGUUACCUCUGGUUUUUUUUUUGACAUAUUUGUAUAUUAGAUUAUUUGGUUCCCAAACUUUGUAUCUACGGUAACUUCUUGUGCACAGGAAUAAGCCUAGAGAAAAUUAGGUUUUUAAUACUUUAUUAUUGCUUUGAUAUUGGUUUAUGUAAUUCGGGUAAAUUUAUUUUGUAAUAUUACUAGCUUGUUUCCCAAAUAUUUUACUGUUAUUCGCUUUAUUCCAUUUGUUCGGUUAAUUUAGGUCAUCGUCGGUAUUUAUCUCAACUUCAUUUCUACUUUAGUCAAUUGUAUAUUUAACUUUAUUUAUUCAUUAUUGUAUUUUCCCUUAGUGAGGCUUGGGCCUAUUUAUUUGUAUUAUUUUCAUCUUUGUCGGUUUCAAUUCAGUUGUACGUAGCAGGCGUACUAUAACCAUUUGGUAGAAGACUUAUGUAAUUUUGUACCCUAUAUGUAAGUAAGAGGUACUAAUACCUGUAAUUUUGUAACAGAUAACAUUAUUGUUGUUAUCUUAGAGAUGACUUUUUGUAUAACUUAUGUCAUUUUAGAGUCACAUGAUAUACACUUUGUGUAACUCAGAGAUUGUCAAAAAUCUAGUAGUUAUUUUUAAUAAAUAUGUAUUUAUUUUGUA
rnacentral:lncRNA from 1 species